UAGGGAAUCUUCGGCAAUGGACGGAAGUCUGACCGAGCAACGCCGCGUGAGUGAAGAAGGUUUUCGGAUCGUAAAGCUCUGUUGUAAGAGAAGAACGAGUGUGAGAGUGGAAAGUUCACACUGUGACGGUAUCUUACCAGAAAGGGACGGCUAACUACGUGCCAGCAGCCGCGGUAAUACGUAGGUCCCGAGCGUUGUCCGGAUUUAUUGAGCGUAAAGCGAGCGCAGGCGGUUAGAUAAGUCUGAAGUUAAAGGCUGUGGCUUAACCAUAGUAGGCUUUGGAAACUGUUUAACUUGAGUGCAAGAGGGGAGAGUGGAAUUCCAUGUGUAGCGGUGAAAUGCGUAGAUAUAUGGAGGAACACCGGUGGCGAAAGCGGCUCUCUGGCUUGUAACUGACGCUGAGGCUCGAAAGCGUGGGGAGCAAACAGGAUUAGAUACCCUGGUAGUCCACGCUGUAAACGAUGAGUGCUAGGUGUUAGACCCUUUCCGGGGUUUAGUGCCGUAGCUAACGCAUUAAGCACUCCGCCUGGGGAGUACGACCGCAAGGUUG
rnacentral:rRNA from 1 species